rnacentral:rRNA from 1 species
CUACGGGAUGCUGCAGUGGGGAAUAUUGGACAAUGGGGGAAACCCUGAUCCAGCAAUGCCGCGUGUGUGAAGAAGGCCUGCGGGUUGUAAAGCACUUUCGGUUGGGAGGACUGCUUCUAGCACUAAUAUUGUUGGAAGUUGACGUUACCUUCAGAAGAAGCACCGGCUAACUCCGUGCCAGCAGCCGCGGUAAUACGGAGGGUGCAAGCGUGAAUCGGAAUUACUGGGCGUAAAGCGCGCGUAGGCGGCUAGAUCAGUCGGGUGUGAAAGCCCCGGGCUUAACCUGGGAACUGCAUCCGAUACUGGCUAGCUUGAGUACAGGAGAGGAGAGUGGAAUUCCACAUGUAGCGGUGAAACGCGUAGAUAUGUGGAGGAACACCAAUGGCGAAGGCAGCUCUCUGGCCUGAUACUGACGCUGAGGUGCGAAAGCGUGGGGAGCAAACAGGAUUAGAUACCCUUGUAGUC